CCAUGAUCACGUUGUCCUCAUCCAGAACAUUGACCUUCAUGAAAACAAGGUGUCAGUUUGCAACAGAUGUGUUUGUGAAGACCACAGUAUCAUAGGAUACUCCCGACAAACACAAAACCAAUAAAAUGUUAUUGCCACUAAGAAAACAAAAAACGGUGUGUCCUCUCCAAGACAGUGUGGCUUCUGAAAAUUUGCACUGAUAGAUGAUCCCCAAUAUUCCUGGACCACACUGCUGGGAUUCACCCACCAGCUGCACUUUAUUUAUAACUCCAAAAUUCACUCUUGCUGUGCUUUUGCAGUCUUCCUGGACCCAUGCAGAGCAGCAAAAACCAAGGGUCCCAGUGUGCAUGUUCCCAGACCGGGAUGCUCUGCUCUCUUCUCCCAGUGCUAAUACCGCAAGCAAACGCGCUUUGUGUGGUCUCUUCAGUGUCACAGGUUUUUCAUUUUGUUGUUGCAUUGUUUGUGAUUUUUGUGGAUCAUGUUGGCCCCUCAAACCCAGUUCUGAAAGCCGUUCAGGAUUCCUAAGGGUAAGAGACAGGGAUGUGCCCCGUGGGGAAGAUACAUGCAUUUGAUGAGCUCCGCACCGGUGGGCAUCCUGGCUCUCUUGGCAGUGGGUUCAAUGUCAGUGCUUCUGCAGUGGAUGUUAAACUAGCCGCUCUGAACAGGAGCUCACAAAAUCAAGGUAACCUGUUAAUGGGUGGAUUAAAAUGCUACCUGAGUCUUGCAGGAACUCACCCCUGUGCUCCCCCAGGGGCAACGAUUCAGGAUCUGCAAAUUCAGUGUUUAUGGCGAUCUGUGGAGCUAGCAAAAAUACCACAAAUGAUGUGAAUCAACCGUAUGGAUUUCUAAGUGUCAUUUUCCUAAGAGACACUCCAUUAUUUCUUAAUAAUUACUAAAAUAAGUAAUUAAGCAACAAGUGCAUCUCUGCUGUAUACAAUGUGGUCCAACCCUGGCUCCUGCUUGAGAGGUCCCAAUUAUGAAAAAACACACACACGAUUUUCUACUUCUUUCUACCAUUGACAGGAUCCUGAGGCAAUCUUCCAGGCUUCCUGGUAAAUCUGAGAAGUUCUCAUGGCACAGAAGCACUGCGGCUCGGAAUGUGCCCGGGUGCUCAGCACCAGAGGCAGCCCAGCAAGGAUGCCCCCCCUGCGGCUUAGCUUCCAGAGUGAGCGCCACCCAGUGAAUGCCUGGGACGAAACCAGCAGGUCAUUCCAGAGAGGUGCAGCGCUCUGAGAUCAGCCGCACAGCAACGGAGCUGGGGGAGGAAGAGCGACGUGAGAGAGAAAGUGCAAGAAAAGUCCAGAAUAAGGAAAAGGACCGGGCUGGGAGAUUUCCCCAUCUCUCUGUUCAGCUUCCAGCUAGAUUUCCAUCUCUAAGUCACCUCUGUCUUUUCUUCCUACCGCAAGUGGACAAAAGAAGCCGUGCGGGGUUUUGGAUGCCUUGCUGCUGAGACAUUUCUUCUUAGAUUCCCACUCAUCACUCUUACGUUCUGCGUCCCUCUCAGUCCUAGGAAAGGGUCAUGAUUCAGCCCAGCACUUCGCAGCUAAAUCACCAGCUUGGCCUCCCUCUGACUUCCAGUACCUUCAGUAUCGUCAUUUGUCUGAGGCUUCGUGAGAAUGGCCUUCUCUGUCCAUCUGUCUACCAACAUUCUGGUUACAACCCCUGGGGUGACCUGAGAUCCAGGCUCUCCAUGCAGGACAGCCACCCAUGAAUUGCCCCGAAUCCUACACUCAUGGAGACCUCGGCCUUUUCUAACUGCAUCUCCAAAUUCUCCGCCCGUUCCCCACCUCCAAAGCAGCUUCCAAAAUGUCAGGCAUUUAAUACAGCAACAGCCCCCAUCUCAGCACCAGUUCAUUUCAUACCAUUAUCACAGAAUCUCCAAAAUUGAGUCAUUUACAAAGAAUAGAGGUUUCUUUCUCACAGUUUUGGAGGCUUCCAAGUCCGAGAUCAAGGGUGUCCCUUGGUGAGGACCUUCUUGCUGCAUCAUAAUGUCGCCAGAGGCAUCGCAGCAAAAGAGCACCCACAGGAGAGGUGGAAGGGACAAAGUCAUCCUUUCAUCAGGAGCCCAGUCCUGCAUCAGCUAGCCAGUCCCAUAAUGACGGCAUCCAUCCCUCCGUGAGGACAGAGCCCUCCACCCUGUCACCUUGUGAAGGUCCCUGUCCCAACAGCUGCACUGAGGUCUCUUUUUUUUUAAUCCACCCUUUUAAUUAUUUAUUUAUUUUAGUUGUAGACAGUCACAAUACUUUUAUUUUAUUUUAUUUUUAAUGUGGUGCUGAGGAUCAAACCCAGUGCCUCACACACACAAGGCAAACGCUCUGCCACUGAGCUACACCCUCAGCCCCCUGAGGACGUUUUUGUAACACAUGAAUUUUGGGGACCACGUUUAAACCCUAGCAAGAGCAUUGAACCUUCCUGGUUCUGUUUCUCUGGAGAAUCCUGAAUUAAGUGAAUUCCUUAUUAAUGGACAAAGAGUAAUGAACAGAAAUAACUGGCUGAGAAUAAUUUAGAAAACAAAAAAUCAAAUAAAAGGCAAAAAUGGACCAAAAUGAGCCUAGACACUUUAAGGGUCACGGGCUUCCUGUGGCUUUGCGUCUAAGUGUAUCCCGGAUGCUCCUACCUGUCCCCUCCUCCAUGCCAUCCCCGGAUGAGCUGCCAUCGCCGCUGCUGUUGCCUGAGUGUGACCUCCAAAUGUGACUCCAAAUGCAUUUCUUCUCUUGUAAAUUGCCCAGUCUCAGGGAUUCUGCUGCAGUCUAACAGGAAGCUGACCACUAUAAUUUGAAUGUGUCCUCCAAAAUUCAUGGUUUGGAAACUUGGUGCCCCAUAUAGCAGUGUUGGCAGCAGGGACCUUUGGGGAGAUGACUGGGUGCUCAGCGGUCUACCCUCCUGGGUGGAUUCAUCCCUUCAAAUUAACGUAGUGUUUUGGGGGUGGCUUUGUUUUAAACGUGCCAUCUCCGUGUUUGCUCUCUGGCCAUGUGAUGCCUCCAAUGUGACAACGCAGCAGGAAGGCCCUUACCAAACACUGGGGAGAUUUUCGGACUUCUCAGCCUCCAGAAUUUUGAGCUGAAUACACCCAUUUUCUUUACAAAUUACUAAGACUCAGACAUUUUGCUAUAAUAACAGAAAAUGAACUAAGACACAGACUAAGGCACCCGUCUACCUGGGUUCCACCCUAACGUCUCCCCAAUCUUCACUUCUUCCCCUGCACCCCACCCCAUAUGGCAGCCAGCGAGACGGCAGUGGACCCAAUGUUUCACUCCCACCCAAUUUAUAUGUGGAGACCCUGGCCCCUUGUGAUGGCCUUUGGAGGGGGAGCAUUUGAGGAGAAGCCGGCCUUCUGCAACCUGCAAGAUGGACCUCCCAGAACCGGCACUGCUCUGAUCUAGCACUUCUGGGCUCCAGGACCGUGAGAGGCCAAUUUCUUUUGUUCAUAUUUCCCCCCGUCCGUGGUACUUUGGUAUAGUAGCCCCUGCUGCCUAAGAGUGAGAUCUACAAAUGCAAAUGUCUUCUCCACUUAAAAUCUCCCUGUGGCCACCUGUGGCCCUAAGGCCUCAAAACCCAGACCUCAUUUCCCAGCUCAUGUUCACUCUCUGACCUCGCUUCCUUCUCAUCUUUCCCUCCCUGGCUCACAGGGCUCCGGUCUCUCCAGGGCCUUUUGUCCCCCUGGCUCUGCCCAGCACCCUCCAAACCUCCCCCUAAAGGUCUUCCCGUGGCCUCAACUUCUCAUCACUCAGGUGAGUCUCAGGCAUGACCGUCUCCAUGGAGACCCUCGCCGCUGACUGCUGCCCCAGCCUGGCCACACCCAUCAGUCCGGCUGCUCUGUACAGCGGGCUGCAGGGAAGAAGUCAAGACUGGAGAGGUGCUGGGGUGGGCCCGGGUAGGCGGUGGUCUCAGUCUGUGCUCAGUCCAUUGCCUGUUGCUGUAACAAAACGCCCCGUGCAUUCGUGAGGGCGCUGCCUGUUGGACUUCUCCACAGCACCCGCCCCUCCCUGGACCUGCCUCUCCUCCCUCCCCAGGAGAAUCUGUCCUCUUCAUUCCAUGUCCCCAACCCAGGGCCUGUGUCCACCUUUCCCUUCUGCACUUGUGUCCACUUAGGGAACAGUCUGGGUGAAUCUGAUGUCAGAGUUGGAGCGAAGAAGACGUCACUGCUAAAGUCAUGCCCCUCCCCCAAUGGGGACAGAGAAUUGGCCUAUUUGGGGUCAUCUACAGGGUGUUUGUGAAAGACAUGGUUGACACACACAACACAGAGCAAAACGAGAGGCACUUCCAAGGGGAGACAAGUCUCACCAGGAGAGAUCAAAGAAGAGGGUUCUUUCUUAAAAUGGGAGAGAAAAAAUGAGUUUUCCAAGAUAGAACGUGGUGUAUGUAGCUUGCCCCAUGACUAUGAGUGAUCCUUAAAGACUGAGAGCAGGCAAGAACAGGCAGACUUCCCAGGGGAAGAGCAGCGUACUGUGGCAGACAGGUGUCUCUUACUUAUGUACCUGCAGGGACCACACACAUCAUCUAACAAUGCAUCUCUAGGUGCACGUAUCUGGGCUCAGGUCUGUGUAGCCACAUCAAGAUGGCGCAUGUGUUGGAAUGUGCCUGGGUGACUGCACUUCACAGUAGCUCAUCUCCGCAGGCCAGAUCUCCAUGAUAUUCCUCAUCAGUCCCCCUGUAAUCAGUGUGAAGGGGGUGACCUUCCUAAACCAGGAAAACAAACCAGAGUCCAACCAGCCAACUGGCCAAAGGCAGGACGGACAGCGAGGAGGCGGGCGAGGGGCACUUACUCUUUUUACGGAGCUUCGGAAGGCGCGGAACAGGUACGGGCUCAGGGACUGAGCGUUCACUUUGGCCACCGCGGCGCUGAGGGCUUCCCGCAGGGAGGAGGGAUCAUAGUCGUACACGGGGAAACCUGGACGCACAAGCACACGGGCCACCGUGAGAGGGGAAGGCUGCGUGUCCCCAAGAGCAGGUGGCCUGUCGAGCUCCCUACCUGAGCAAGGCCCGAGGUCCAUCCCCAGAGCCAGCAUCACCAGCACCUUCAUGGCCAGCGCCAUCGUGAGCAGAAGGUUUCAAUUCAGAGACUCUCCCUCUGCAGCUCCAGGGUGACAACCCUUCCUGAGACCUGUUGUCUUUGUCAAA